rnacentral:rRNA from 1 species
GGACGACCCUUAGGAAACGUAGGGGUGCUCCAUCUGGAAGAAUCUGGAGACAGGUGCUGCAUGGCUGUCGUCAGCUCGUGUCGUGAGAUGUUGGGUUAAGUCCCGCAACGAGCGCAACCCUUGCCUUUAGUUGCCAGCAGUUCGGUUGGGCACUCUAAAGGGACUGCCGGUGUUAAACCGGAGGAAGGUGGGGAUGACGUCAAGUCCUCAUGGCCUUUAUGACCAGGGCUACACACGUACUACAAUGGCCGAUACAAAGGGCAGCGACACUGCGAGGUGAAGCCAAUCCCGUAAAAUCGGUCUCAGUCCGGAUUGGAGUCUGCAACUCGACUCCAUGAAGUUGGAAUCGCUAGUAAUCGUGGAUCAGCAUGCCACGGUGAAUACGUUCCCGGGCCUU